rnacentral:tRNA from 1 species
GGCUCCAUAGUGUAGUGGUUAGCACGUCUGCUUUACACACAGGAGGUCCUGGGUUCACACUCCAGGUGGAGACA